CCUACGGGAGGCAGCAGUGGGGAAUAUUGCACAAUGGGGGAAACCCUGAUGCAGCGACGCCGCGUGAGUGAAGAAGUAAUUCGUUAUGUAAAGCUCUAUCAGCAGGGAAGAAAAUGACGGUACCUGAGUAAGAAGCCCCGGCUAACUACGUGCCAGCAGCCGCGGUAAUACGUAGGGGGCAAGCGUUAUCCGGAUUUACUGGGUGGAAAGGGAGCGUAGACGGCAGUGCAAGUCUGGAGUGAAAGGCGGGGGCUCAACCACCGGACUGCUCUGGAAACUGUACGGCUGGAGUGCAGGAGAGGUAAGUGGAAUUCCUAGGGUAGCGGUGAAAUGCGUAGAUAUUAGGAGGAACACCAGUGGCGAAGGCGGCUUACUGGACUGUAACUGACGUUGAGGCUCGAAAGCGUGGGGAGCAAACAGGAUUAGAUACCCCUGUAGUC
rnacentral:rRNA from 1 species